GCGGUGCUGCGGGGUGCGUUAGAAGCACAUAUGUUCCCCGGGGCCUAUAAGAUCCGCAUGGGAGCUGUCCCUGACUGAGACCGUGGUCUCGGAUACACGGCGCCCACCUACGUUCGUAGGGACCAACGCGGGAUCAUCCGCUUCGACGGCCACCGCGGCACUUUG
rfam:Hyphomicrobium sulfonivorans strain WDL6 contig_10, whole genome shotgun sequence.